UUCGGUUAAGUUAUGAAGGGCGCACGGUGGAUGCCUUGGCACUAGGAGCCGAUGAAGGACGGGACUAACACCGAUAUGCU
rnacentral:rRNA from 1 species